rnacentral:snoRNA from 1 species
GAUCUGUGAUGAGAAAUAGCCAAAUCUGAGCACCAGUAGAUCAGAUGGUUUGUACGGUGUAUGAUCUAUAACAGUACUGGGA